AAGAAAAAUGAAAAUAAAAGUAGGUGUUUCCUAAGAUAGGCCGGAGGCAGAUAAAAUUAAACCACCGCCAAAUCUGGUUAAAGGCAGUUUAUAGAAAAAGCAAAGAUUUUUAUUUUUUAUUUUUAUUUUUUAUUUUUAACUUUUGCUGGGAAAAAAGAAAAUGGGGAAAAAAGACGAUGAGAUUAUGCACAUGUGGCCUUAACCGGCGGGCGGCGGCGGCGGCACCGGCACCGGCCUGGGGUCCGCGACCAGCUUAGCUAGAUGCCUUUCUUUCACAAAAGCGCUUCAAAUUCUCGGCUUCAACAGAAGUUACCCGAUUCUGAAUUUUCCGUUGUUCUACCGGAACCGCUCGUUCAGCGGCGGCUCACCAGACAGAGGAAGCUCCGGCAUCUUACGGAUCGAGACGUUGGCUUUGAAUACCCUCGAUCAUCUCCCGAUUCCCCCGAUUUAUUGGCCAAACCUAGAUCGCCUCUUGGAGGUUCCGAACGUUGGUCGUCCUCGCCCUUGCCUCAGCCUUUGCCUCUGCCGGAGUUCUUUCCGGUUCGGAGCCUGGAGUCCGGUUCUUGGAGUUCUGGUCAUGGACGUGUUGGAUCGCCUGUUGAAAAUCCGGUCCGUAAUUCUGCUAUUAAAACUGUUAGGAAGAGCUCUGAUCAUGGGACGACGAAUGUAAGUAGAAUUUUGGGCGACAAUCAAAGGCGAGUUGCUGUAGAUUUGACCUUGGAAGUUGUUAAUGGCAAUUCAGGAGGGACUGGGGCUACGACAUUUACAAGCCUUCAAAGUCCCUCUGUGAAUUCAGGGAAAUCGAAUCCGAAUAAGGAGCUUCUUUUUGGUUGUUUGGAUCAGCCUCCAAACAACAAAGGCAGAGGAUCCCCUACCUAUCCGAGUAAUGAAAGGGGUAACUACAAUUCAACACCUAAGAAUUCGUCGUCAAAGAGUGCGCCAACGAGCAUUUUACCGAGUCCUGCUGUUAGCCCCCGAAGAACAUAUACUGGAAAUCCUUUUGUUUCUGGUUUGACUCACCAUGAAUAUCAGGAAUCUCCUUCCAAUAAUUCUCCUAAAGUACCACCCCUUAAAACUGCACUUACUUCUCAACAUUCUCCUCUCUAUAGCCCGACAGCUCAAAGUUCCGUAAGCAAUCCUAGAUCUCCUAAUGAUAUGGCAUUUCCCCUACAUUCUAAGUUGUUACUAAAAAAUAGUAGUAUAGAUCGGGCUGAAAGCCAUGGCCAUGUCAAUGCCCAUCCAUUGCCCCUUCCUCCUCCGUUAGUAGCCCCUUCACAAGCAUCUCCACAAUCUAUUCCGUCAAGUGUUCAUCAUGUUAUUGAGAAGCCAUACACUUCAUCUAUGAAAGGUCAGUGGCAAAAAGGAAAGCUAAUUGGGCGUGGUACGUUUGGAAGUGUUUAUCUUGCAACCAACAGAGAGACUGGAGCUUUAUGUGCAAUGAAAGAAGUUGAUCUCAUUCCUGAUGAUCCUAAAUCUGCUGAAUGUAUAAAGCAACUAGAGCAGGAAAUUAAAGUUCUCAGUCACCUUAAACAUCCAAAUAUUGUACAAUAUUAUGGAAGUGAAACAAUUGGUGAUCAUUUCUAUAUAUAUUUGGAGUAUGUUUAUCCUGGGUCAAUAAAUAAAUAUGUCCGUGAACGUUGUGGAGCCAUUACCGAAUCUAUUGUUCGUAAUUUCACCCGCCAUAUUCUCUCUGGACUGGCUUACUUGCAUAGCACAAAAACAAUUCACAGAGAUAUCAAAGGUGCAAACUUGCUAGUUGAUUCAUCAGGCGUUGUCAAACUUGCAGAUUUUGGGAUGGCAAAACAUCUGACUGGGCAGUAUGAUCUUUCAUUGAAGGGUAGUCCGUACUGGAUGGCUCCAGAGGUCAUAAAAGCUGCUAUGUUGAAAGAUGCCAACCCUGACCUUGCUUUGGCAGUUGACAUUUGGAGUCUAGGUUGCACCAUAAUUGAAAUGCUUAAUGGAAAACCUCCAUGGUGUGAGUUUGAAGGGCAUCAAGCUAUGUUCAAGGUGUUGAAUAAAACCCCAGCUAUCCCAGAAAAGCUAUCUCCAGAAGGGAAAGACUUCCUCCAGUGUUGCUUUCAGAGGAAUCCAGCUGACAGACCAACAGCCAUGGUCCUUCUUGACCAUCCUUUCUUAAGAUCCUCAAAUGACUCAAAUGUUUCAAUCCCCACGUCAUCAUUUUCAACAAUGAACCUCUUGGAAAAAUUGUCGAGUCCGAAGGACCCCCUUAAUCCCAAAGGAGAUCAGGCACAAAACUCUCCUGGAACUUCGGCUUCAAACAAUUAUUUGCCGUGCCGUAGGUAGCUAUACUAAGCUCUUGCUCAUCCACUUAUGAACCAUAUAGUGAUGAAGCCCACGCUUCCCUUCAACGAACAUUUCAAGCAAUGUUCCUGCCAGUGCUGUUACCAACCAUCACUUUUCUAUUUCAAGGACUCAUAAAAGGGAAGUGCCGCACCUCUGAGCUACAGUCGUGGAUAUUUACAGGCAAAUAUUCGAGGAAGUUAGCUGUCCUCUCAUAAGACCACAUGAAGCUGGGAUAGAGAUCAUCUUUCCCCCUGCCUCGUUAAAACGACAGAACUCAUUCUUUCUUAAACAAACUGUCAUAGGUCUUAGUAACCACCAAACUUGAGGUCUUUGUCAACGUUAGGGCGAUCGCCCUGACAUAUUUUUUGUACUUACAGAAAAAGAAUAUCACCCUUGGAAGAUGGUACUAGGAAAAGAAGAGGAUAAAAGCAUUCUUUUUGUACUCAUUCUAUAAUAAGCAGGAUUAGAUUUGAAUCUGUAUAUAUUUAGUUUGCAUUGUCGCUCACGUUGCUACAAAGCAACUCACACAAGGCAAAAUGACCCUGACAUCUCAGUUUUGUUUUA